rnacentral:rRNA from 1 species
UACGUAGGGUGCGAGCGUUAAUCGGAAUUACUGGGCGUAAAGCGUGCGCAGGCGGUUCGUUGUGUCGGUGGUGAAAGCCCCGGGCUUAACCUGGGAAUGGCCAUGGAAACUGGCGAACUGGAGUGUGGCAGAGGGGGGUGGAAUUCCGCGUGUAGCAGUGAAAUGCGUAGAUAUCUGGAGGAACACCGGUGGCGAAGGCGGCAUCCUGGACCGGUAUUGACGCUGAGGCGCGAAAGCUAGGGGAGCAAACGGG